rnacentral:rRNA from 1 species
GAAUUUUAUAUAUAAAAUUUAUUGGAUAGUUAAUUUUUAUUUGGAUAAGGUUAUAUAUUUAAUUGGGAGGAUUAUUAAAUUAAUUGAACUUUAAUUAAUAGGAGGAUAUUAAUAAAUAAUUUAUAAUUUUAAUUAUAAAGGAGGAUAAAUUAAUUGAGUUAGAAUUAAUUACCUUAGGGAUAACAGCGUAAUAAUUUUGGAAAGAACAUAUUAAUAAAAUUGAUUGC